CCGGGAACCCCGAACAUCCCCUUUCUCUACUCUUUCCCUUUGGAGUCUAUAGAGGGAGAAGCAGAGCCUAAGGCUUCAUCAGUUUGAAUACUGGCUGGGGCUGGGCAAGUUAGUGGCUCAAAGUGUUGAAUCUGUCCCUAAAGCAGGGACAGAAAUGGAGGCUCAGGAGGUAGAGGUGGCAGUGGGCGUGCAGGAGAAGCUGUAGGUCAGGAGGUAGAGGUGGCAGUGGGCGUGCAGGAGAACUGUAGGUCAGAGUGGAGAGGUGGCAGUGGGCGUGCAGGAGAAGCUGUAGGUCAGGAGGUAGAGGUGGCAGUGGGCGUGCAGGAGAAGGUGUAGGUCAGGGGGUAGAGGUGGCAGUGGGCGUGCAGGAGAAGCUGUAGGUCGGGAGGUAGAGGUGGCAGUGGGCGUGCAGGAGAAGUGUAGGUCGGGAGGUAGAGGUGGCAGUGGGCGUGCAGGAGAAGCUGUAGGUCGGAGAGGGUGCAGAGUGGAGAACAGAUGAGCUGGAGUCACACCAUGCCCUAUACCCAGCCAGAGGCCGAAGUGAGCCUGUCACGGUAAUGCCACUGCCUGCUUGAUUCCCUCCCAUGCCUAGCCUGGGUUCUUCAUGAUCCCUGAGGCCCUCUUUGAUGUCAUCCCGCUGCCUCAAAACCUGUGUGUGCUGGUGGCUCCCUCUGCUUUCCUUCCAGAUGACUCCUUCGCUUCAGCUCAAAUGUCACCUUUGGCUGUUAAAAUCCUUUCCGGAGGAAGUUGUAAACAAUGCCUACCCCUCCUCCCGAGGUCUCUGAUUCCACUCCAGGGAAGAUUGCUCUGGGGGAGCCAAUGAGUUUGUUGGGAUUACUUCCAGAGCAUAGGUGAGGGGUUAGUUACUUGAAUAUGAGUGCUGCCCACCAAAAGACCGCACUGAAAAGUCUUUACCCAGCAGGGGUGAUGGU
rnacentral:lncRNA from 1 species